rnacentral:rRNA from 1 species
AGUGAACGCUGGCGGUAGGCCUAACACAUGCAAGUCGAACGGCAGCACAGUAAGAGCUUGCUCUUACGGGUGGCGAGUGGCGGACGGGUGAGGAAUACAUCGGAAUCUACUUUUUCGUGGGGGAUAACGUAGGGAAACUUACGCUAAUACCGCAUACGACCUACGGGUGAAAGCAGGGGAUCUUCGGACCUUGCGCGAUUCAAUGAGCCGAUGUCGGAUUAGCUAGUUGGCGGGGUAAAGGCCCACCAAGGCGACGAUCCGUAGCUGGUCUGAGAGGAUGAUCAGCCACACUGGAACUGAGACACGGUCCAGACUCCUACGGGAGGCAGCAGUGGGGAAUAUUGGACAAUGGGCGCAAGCCUGAUCCAGCCAUACCGCGUGAGUGAAGAAGGCCUUCGGGUUGUAAAGCCCUUUUGUUGGGAAAGAAAAGCAGCAGGUUAAUACCCCGCUGUUCCGACGGUACCCAAAGAAUAAGCACCGGCUAACUUCGUG